rnacentral:rRNA from 1 species
GACAGGGGUCUCAAGCGUUAAUCGGAAUCACUGGGCUUAAAGGGCGCGUAGGCGGUUCGUUAAGUCCUGUGUGAAAUCCCCCGGCUCAACUGGGGAACUGCACAGGAAACUAGCGGGCUUGAGUUCGGGAGAGGGAAGCGGAAUUCCGGGUGUAGCGGUGAAAUGCGUAGAUAUCCGGAGGAACACCGGUGGCGAAGGCGGCUUCCUGGACCGACACUGACGCUGAGGCGCGAAAGCUAGGGGAGCAAACGGG